AGAGUUUGAUCCUGGCUCAGGAUGAACGCUGGCGGCGUGCCUAAUACAUGCAAGUAGAACGCUGAAGCUUGGUGCUUGCACCGAGCGGAUGAGUUGCGAACGGGUGAGUAACGCGUAGGUAACCUGCCUCUUAGCGGGGGAUAACUAUUGGAAACGAUAGCUAAUACCGCAUAAAAGUCGAUAUCGCAUGAUAUUGAUUUGAAAGGUGCAAUUGCAUCACUAAGAGAUGGACCUGCGUUGUAUUAGCUAGUUGGUGAGGUAACGGCUCACCAAGGCGACGAUACAUAGCCGACCUGAGAGGGUGAUCGGCCACACUGGGACUGAGACACGGCCCAGACUCCUACGGGAGGCAGCAGUAGGGAAUCUUCGGCAAUGGGGGCAACCCUGACCGAGCAACGCCGCGUGAGUGAAGAAGGUUUUCGGAUCGUAAAGCUCUGUUGUAAGAGAAGAACGAGUGUGAGAGUGGAAAGUUCACGCUGUGACGGUAUCUUACCAGAAAGGGACGGCUAACUACGUGCCAGCAGCCGCGGUAAUACGUAGGUCCCGAGCGUUAUCCGGAUUUAUUGGGCGUAAAGCGAGCGCAGGCGGUUAGAUAAGUCUGAAGUUAAAGGCUGUGGCUUAACCAUAGUACGCUUUGGAAACUGUUUAACUUGAGUGCAGAAGGGGAGAGUGGAAUUCCAUGUGUAGCGGUGAAAUGCGUAGAUAUAUGGAGGAACACCGGUGGCGAAAGCGGCUCUCUGGUCUGUAACUGACGCUGAGGCUCGAAAGCGUGGUGAGCAAACAGGAUUAGAUACCCUGGUAGUCCACGCCGUAAACGACGAGUGCUAGGUGUUGGGACCUUUCCGGGACGCAGUGCCGCAGCUAACGCAUUAAGCACUCCGCCUGGGGAGUACGACCGCAAGGUUGAAACUCAAAGGAAUUGACGGGGGCCCGCACAAGCGGUGGA
rnacentral:rRNA from 1 species